GGCCAAUAAGAACAAUGGAGGAUGCACCAAGAAGAUAAGCACAACACAUGUUUGCUGUUCCUUGAUACCCCAUUUGCUUUGAGUGUUUGCAGUGUCUCAUGGGAAUAAAAUUCCACCCAGCUGUGCACUGUGUGACUCAAUACAAGUACAAGGAACAGGAGUGAUGUUCUAUGGAAGAAGCACUAACCCAUCACUAGAUGAGCUCCUCCUGGUGAGAGGAGAGUCCUCCCUGGGCGGGACUUUAGAAGAAAGCAGAGGUGACUGACUUGAUUGUUCCAGGCAGAGUCCACCUCCACCACAGCCUCUUAAGGAUACAGCAUUUGCAGCUAAGCCAUGGACAACAGAACUCAACCUGCCACUGAAGGGAGAGUCUACUGAGGAAAUCUGGGAAAGUCAUUCCAUCACAAACAAGGAGAGACAUACCAGAGAAACUUCUAGUCGGGACACUGCUCUGAAAGGACAUGUCCCUGGAGGUGUGGCAGUCAUUUUGUACCAUGAAAUGCUCCAGCACUGUUGACAACAUUGAGCCAGAGAUUCAACUCUGUAACUGCUAUCCUUAGACUUUUUGUCAAUUGAGACAAUUAUUCCCAUCAUGGAAGUCUAUUUUAAUUGUUGGGUCCGGUGAGAAGAGUGUUCCUGCUAAUGGAAAAGAUUCUUUCAGUGAAACCAAGUAGACCUGGGUUUUAGAAAGAGAGCUUUGAAGGUUUUGUCGAAUGUAAGAUAGGAAUGUGGGGAGAAAAAAAAUAAUUAAAAAGAAAUUCUGCGUCUCUAUACUAGGAGCUCAUGAAAAUGGGAAUACUAUAAAGAGUAGAGUAAUUUUCUCAUUGCAAUGGGAGAACCUGUUAGUUUUCUAAGUUCAUUUCUCUGAGUUUACUUUGUGACUCAAUGAGGGCUUAGCCUGCUAAAGAAGAGUUUGUUCUCUAAAACUGCUGAGAGUGCAACUGGGUGUGGAGUGACAACUGAAAAGAGAUUUGAAAGAGAAUCCUGCCAAUGGACCAAGUGGAUGAUAAUACAUGCUGUUACAGUGGAUCUAGCCACCCUUCACAACUGACCUUUGCAGCACAGAAAUCAGUGCCUGAAAUAUAUUCAUAUGGACACACGCUAUCUGCUGUCGAUUUUACAAUAAUUCAAGUGAAAUUCUUUUGAGCUGUAAAAGUCUUGUGACCUGUGUGUCAAUACAACUUCUGCAUUGACAGUGUGCAACAUGACAUCUGACCCCAAAUCUAUCACUGAUCAAAUGAUCUCAAAUAAGUCACUUAACUUCGCUGGACCUCAAUGGUUUCAACAAUUGAAGGAUGUUUGAAGAGAGACACUAGUUUAUUUUUAAAGCAGUGGAAUAUUUUGUCGAGAUAAAUCACAUCCAAUCUUCUAAUAUAUAAU